UCAGACUUCAUUUGCAACAGAGAGCAUUUGCAGUAGAGAGAGAGCGAGAGAGAGCGAAUGACGACGAUCAAGGUCGUUUUGAGAGAGAGAGAGAGAGAGCAAAUGGUGGCGAUAAAUGUCAUUAAAGCUAGGCAGAUCUUCGAUAGCCGUGGAAAUCGAAACGUCGAGUGUUACUAUGACACUUCCAAGGCAACAGAUGAGCUCGUUCAGAAGAUACUACUAACAGGACUGGAGCCUAGAGCUGUUGAUGUGUUUCUUGAUUUCAUUUGCUACUCAGGUGGUCCUCUACCUGACCAACUGCUCACCCAAGUUAAGGGAGUUCAUGUUUCAGAGGACUUUGUUGCCAAGCAAUUGAGGUCCAUACUUUCUGAUAUGUAGGUUGAUGUGGUUGCAGUCAAACAUGACAUUGAGCAUGCAAUAAGAAAAUAGAUUGAAGCAAAUGGGUGCGAUGGUGAGGAACAUUUGUUUGUAACUAGAAAGACUGGAUAUGAAUGAGCAGAGGGAAAUGUUAGCAAAGAUUGCAGUGGGGAAAAUGUCUAUAGAGUAGUUAUCUGAUCUGCUCUCAAGAUCUGCAGCACAAGGCACCUCUCAAACUUGCAUGGAAAGCAACAGGAAGUAGAACUUUACUUAGUGUUAUUUGUGUCUAUUUUUUUAGUUUAAAUAAACGGUUAACUAUUUGUUGGUAUUGUGUUUUUAUGCCUAGUGUUAUUUGUGCCUGUAGUAUUUUAAAAUUUUUAAAUCGAGGGUUAACUGCUAUGUUGGA